UGGAUGGAAGCUUUCUUUUGCAUUGAUUGAAGGAAGCAAAAGUAUUUUCCUGCAUCAGAGAUUUUCACUUUGAAGAUUUUCAUGGAGACGUUUCCAUUCUGCAGUUCAUCCACAAACAGUCUCGUUCGGUAAAAAUAAGAUGGAUUUUGAUAAUCAAACAUCAGUCGUCCAUCUUGGUGAACAUGGAUGUACUUUGGAUCUAAACCAGGUCUGGUCCACACCACUGUCUCAGAACUGGCACUGAUUGGAGGAUCAAGGUAACAUGGUAGAAUGACAUCAUCACCAGCCAGGGCUACGAUUGGUUGA